CCCCUUCUCGCCAGCGGCAGAGCAGCAGAUGCGCCCCCGACGGACGCCACUGGCCGAGCGGCACCUCCAACCGCCCGAGCACGCCGCCGCUCGGCCCCUUCCCCUUCUCACCAGACGGUCGCCCCGCCACCGCCCCUUCUCCCCCUUCUCGCCAGCGGCUGAGCGGCACCUCCGCUGUAGGGGGCCCGAGCCGGCCGGCCGAUCCGCAGCAACGCGCCCCAGACGCCUCGUCCUGGGAGAUCCCCUCGACGCGUUGAAGCGGAUGGGACAGAUCCAGUGGAAGCUGCCGGUGGUCGCCUCUUUGGAGGCGUCGAGGACUACCGCAUCCUCGAUUGUCUAUUCUUUUGACUUCUGGGCCACAGAUCUCUGUUCACGCAGCAGAACUGGUAGGGGGACAUCCUCAACUGCGACGAGGAGAACAGCAAGAUCGAACGCAAGGUUCUUGAUCCACACUUUUCGCCACAACCUGGAGUGGAGGUUGGUUGAAAACAUGACUGUUUGUGGUAUACUUUUGCUAUGUUGAACAUUUUCCAGCACUGUAAGCAGAAAUGAUUAUUUGAUGAAAAAUGUACUUCAUUGUACAGAAAGUAUUAUAUGAUGGUUUAACCUCAGUAUUAGGGCAUCUGAAUCAUAUAAAUUACCUGAAAAAUUGCUCCCUGGUAGUGUUGAUGAGCAGUCAGCAAAGGAUGUACAUAUUGUAGGUUCCAUUGCAGAGAAACAGGCACAAAUUUUUACAGAGGAGUGCAAGCCUUUUCCUGAAGAUGUCCAAAUACAAUCAAUUUACCCCUGUGCAAGUGCAUCCAAUUUGAUGCUUUUGUCUUACAAGGUGCAGAUUUCUAGCAACCAUAUAAUUACGAAAUGGUAUGAUCUAAUGUUGCCGUCUUGUGACCCCCAGUUGACAAGCAGUUUGAAGAAAAGACACUCCGUUUGAUUAUCAUUUUGUAGGUCUGAUAUAGCAGAACUAGAGUUGAAGCUCUCUUGAGUAUAUAUAAAAAAUAUGUCAAACCUGCAAUAGAUGGUUCAGGAGCUAGCCUUAAAGGUAUAAAUUACCACUUGAUCCUAUUUCCAUAUUUGUACAGUUGUGAUUUGGUCAUAUAUUUAAAAUCUUAUACACUUCUAUCUGAAAUUCCCACGCAUAUUGUGUUAGUUAGUUUGUUGACAGUGCACUGCAGUGUACAUUUGCAAUAGCAGGGUAGUCUCUGCUGCCCAGUAUGACUAUAUUCCGAACAAAGAUGAUAUGCCGAGACGGAGCUAAAGUUGAGGAAACAUUUGCAAUGGUUUCUCAGAAUAGUAAAACCCUUCAAUUUGACAUACACUAAGGUGAAUAUCUUAUGCAUCAUUACAUGAUUUUCUCCAUGUAUCUCCUUUUUGUAUUCCAGACAAGCAACCUUGACAUGAAUAUCAUUUGUACUUCUGAUUAUCAUGUUCCAUGUGUUUUUGAGUUGUGAGAAGAUAGAAGUUAUUUGUCAUUGUAGGAAAUCCAUGCUUGGACCCACAUGAUGGAGGUUUCAUGGUUGCAUGGGUUUGGUGCAGCUGCUAACUGAUUGUUAGAGGCUUAUAAAACACUUUUAAAGAUACUAUCUGAUUAUUCGAUCCGUUUAUUCGUCACUUUGUUGCUCAUUUGAAUUUCUUGUGUAUCUCUGACCUACAUGUCAUGAUCUGGUUAUUUGAACUUCUGAUGAGAUGAAAAUAAUAAAAGUUCAUUUGUCACUUGUUAGUAGACACUCAUUAUAUCAUAGUAUUGUCAUAGUUCUGUGGCAUUUCUUGAAAGUUCCAGUGAACUUGUUAUUAUAGGAAAUUUCUUGUCCUGCAAAAUGAACUUAAUGCACAAGGCAUGUGUUUGUUGUUUCCUGUCAAUAACUCAAAGUGUCUCCGUACUAAACCUUAUUGGUGUUAUUUUCUGAAAUACUAAUGGCCAACAAUAAUAUCUUCUGAACUCUAGCCAAUUAAACACCCUGAUGCAAAUUUAAAAUCAACUAAAUGAUGCCUAUAAUAAUUAUGGUAGGAUGGCGCAUAGAAUUUAACCUCCCAAGUAGACUAUCUCCAGCAGAGGAAAAACUUCAGCCGAAUCGACACGAAGCUCCGCACCCAGGUGGUCGCUCCGGCGGCAGCAACACAGUCGUCGUCAUCGGUGUUGAUGAGGAGCGUAGGCACAAAGAUGACGCCAAGAUUGACAGCUAGGAGCAGUCGAGGAGCGGCACUCUAGCCGGUGCCGCCACGCCAUCCCUCAGCCAGUGCAUGCCAAUCAAAUGAAGGCGGAGGCGUAGAACAACAUGACCAAGAAGUAGGCGAGAUCGAGGCGAGAAAGGACGGCCGGGUAGCCCGAUCGGCGCGAUAGGUGGAGCGCAUCCGGAAGAUCGACCGCAUGUCGUCCCGGUUCCAGUGUUGCGACUGAUUCCUGAGCUGAAAAAUAAACAAAAUUCAGAUUGCAUCAGAUAUGCAACCUGACUGAAGAAGCCACAAGGUCACAGUGCACGCUUCUGGGACAAAAUGUAUAUGAAAUUAUUUGAAUCAAUGUACUGUAGGUGUUGCUUUGCUCUGUAGUCUGUACAAUCUGAAUGGUUUUGACUUGAGCUACAAUAGCAUGUUACAAUUUGAAUCAAUGGCCUACUGACUAAUGUACUCAGAACUUGGAAUCAUCUUUUCUUUAAGCUUAAUGGUAACUUUGGAAAAAAGAAAAAAACAUGAGCUAAUACUAUGAUAUUUUACCUUCACAUUUAUUGGCACUUAUUUUUUGGUGUUAUUAUUUUAUCUCACUACUUUCUGGUUGCUUCCUGGCUUUUCUUGAAGAACAAAUAUUAAAUUGUGAAUUCCUUUGAGACCUUGUCAUCUUAUUAUUUUACUUGUAUUUGUUAGCCUCUUUUGUUACACUACUCUGUUGCCUCUGAUCUGAUGCAGUGGUGGUGACAUUCUGAUUGGAUGAUUCUGAUAUGUUAGCCCCUUUAGUUACACUACUCUAUUUGUUAGCCCCAAGUUGAUGCUACUUUUUUCAACUGAUCUCAAUUCAGAUAUGUUGUUCGAAAGACUCUUUCCGAACAUGAGGUGAACCAUUUGCUACUUACCUCUUAAUAUAAUCCUACCAAUGUGAUGCCUUGUAUUUCUGACAAUUAUAUUGCCAUUCCAGGUUAUAUCUGAUGGAGAUUACACUCUUGGCCCAUGAAAAAAGGAAAUUCCAAAUAUUUUAUGCUAGGAAAAGCUUCCAAAAUCAGUAAAGUUCUACAAUCUACAACACUGAUUAAAAGGCUGCUCAAAUUGUUUGGCACUUCUUGUUUUAAAUUUAGUUUUUUUACUGUUGUUCCUGCGUUGAUUGGAAUAUCCAUUGGCUCCACUAAAGCUUCAUGAUGCGUGAUCAUAAAUUGCUCAAGAGAUCAUACAAGACCUGUGGUGGUCUGCCUAUACUAGCAUGUUAGUAGUGCUUAGCAAAACAUGUUCAUAAUUCACUCUUGACUAUCCUUUGAAGUAUGCUACAAUUCUACAUUAGAUUAUCAUGACAAAUAAUUGCAUGAUUGGCGGUCUUGACUUAGUAUAAGUAGUACAUCUUUAGGCAGGGAUCUGAUUUGGAAGGCGGUUGUGGAAGAAAUAGAAUGUUAAUUGCACAAUUUUCUUAUUUUUUUGCUACAAUUAUGUAAUUAUUAUGUAUUUUUGGGUUUCAUUUCAUAGGUUGGUCUUCAAAGUUUCUGAACACAAUUAUCUCUACAGUGUAAGACCAUCUUCUCUCCUAAAUUUUGUGAACUACUGUUGGUUUUUUCGUGGUGAUACAACUUCAGACUUGUCAUGAAAAUUAUACGACUUGGAUCAAGUGAUACUUUUCAUGUGUAAUGAUACUACCGCAGAAGUAAAAUGAUUAAUAGUACUUAUAUGUGGGCAUGUCCUUGUAUAGAAGGAUGAUGAUGGUUUAAAUAAAUUGGUUUUACUAGACGUACUUUCCGAAUUAUGAAUUAUGCACUUCUCAUGAAUUUGUUGUAGUCAAAGGAAGGAGGUGAAGAUACAGGAGUGGGAGAACUGCCAGAAAUCCAAAUUCAAAGCCAAGUUGAGGCAUGCAGAGGUGCAGGUGAAGGCGCGGAUGAAGAACAUCCUGACCAAGAGGAUGUCCACAUUGAGCCACAAGGUGGAGGGGAAGCAUGCAAGGGUCGAGGUGAAGCGGAACCGGCGUGCAGUCCGGUUGGCGCGACAGGUGAAGUGCAUCCGGAAGACCGGCUGUGUGUCCCAUGUAUCCCCAGUGCAACCAAAAUAUCUUUUUAUACAUAUUCUCACAUAUAUUUGUAUAUUAGUCGAGACGUGCAUUUGCACGUGCACGCUUACUAGUUAUAUGAAAUAUGAGUUGGAAGUUACAAAGAAUCAA